GUGCCAGCCGCCGCGGUAAUUCCAGCUCCAAUAGCGUAUAUUAAAGUUGUUGCAGUUAAAAGCUCGUAGUUGAAACUUGGGCCUGGCUGGCGGGUCCGCCUCACCGCGUGCACUCGUCCGGCCGGGCCUUCCUUCUGAAGAACCUCAUGCCCUUCACUGGGCGUGCUGGGGAAUCAGGACUUUUACUUUGAAAAAAUUAGAGUGUUCAAAGCAGGCCUUUGCUCGAAUACGUUAGCAUGGAAUAAUAAAAUAGGGCGUGCGUUUCUAUUUUGUUGGUUUCUAGAGACGCCGCAAUGAUUAACAGGAACAGUCGGGGGCAUCAGUAUUCAGUUGUCAGAGGUGAAAUUCUUGGAUUUACUGAAGACUAACUACUGCGAAAGCAUUUGCCAAGGAUGUUUUCAUUAAUCAGUGAACGAAAGUUAGGGGAUCGAAGACGAUCAGAUACCGUCGUAGUCUUAACCGUAAACUAUGCCGACUAGGGAUCGGGCGAUGUUCUUUUUCUGACUCGCUCGGCACCUUACGAGAAAUCAAAGUUUUUGGGUUCUGGGGGGAUUAUGGUCGCAAGGCUGAAACUUAAAGAAGUUGACGGAAGGUCACCACCAGGCGUGGAGCCUGCGGCUUAAUUUGACUCAACACGGGGAAACUCACCAGGUCCAGAUGAAAUAAGGAUUGACAGAUUGAGAGCUCUUUCUUGAUUUUUCAGGUGGUGGUGCAUGGCCGUUCUUAGUUCGUGGGGUGACUUGUCUGCUUAAUUGCGAUAACGAGCGAGACUUACUCUGCUAAAUAGCCAGCUAACUUUGUGUCGCGCUCUAGAGAGACUUAUCACUCCAGUGAUGAGUUGAGGCAAUAACAGUCUGUGGAUGCCUUAGA
rnacentral:rRNA from 1 species